rnacentral:rRNA from 1 species
UUAUUAAUAAAUUUAUUAUCUUUUUUUUGAAUUUAUUAAUUAUUUUAAUAAAAAUAUUUUUAAUUGUAGAAAUUUCAGUAAUAUUAAAGAAAAAAUAUUUAGUAUAAUAAAUUAAUAGUAUUGUGAAAGAAAAAUUGAAAAAUUUAUGAAAUAUUUAAAUUUUUAUAAGUAAAAUUAAAAUUUUGUACCUUUUGUAUCAGGGUUUAUUAAAAAUAAAUUAAUUAAAGUUAUUUAUCUCGAAAUUUUAAGAGUUAAUUUAAUAUGAAUUUUAUUGUUUCAUAAAUAAAUUUAAUAUUAAAUUAGUAGUGAAAUGUUAUUCGAUUAAAAUUAUAUCUAGUUAUUUAAUAAAUGAAUUUAAUUCAUAUAUUAAUUUUAUAUAAUUUAAUUUUAUAUAAAUUAUUUUAAAUUAAUAUAAAUAAUUUAAGGGAAAAGCUUUAGAUUAGAAAUUAUAAUAUUUAUUUAUUUAUAUUAAAUUAAUAGAUUUAAAAAUAGUUAUUUAAAAAAUAUAUAAUUAUUUAUUUAAUAAAUAUACUUAUAUUUUAUUUAAUUAAAAUAUUAAAUUUAAUUUUAAAAUAAUUUAAAAUUUAUAAUAAUGAUAAAAUUAGUAUAAAAGUUUAUUUAUUAAAAUAUUUAUAUUUAUAGAUAGAUUAAAGUAAGGAAUUCGGCAAAAUUUAAUGUUCACCUGUUUAUUAAAAACAUGUCUUUUAUGAAUUUAAUUAAAAGUCUGAUCUGCUCACUGAUUUAAUUAUUAAAGAGCCGCAGUAUUCUGACUGUGCAAAGGUAGCAUAAUCAUUAGUCUCUUAAUUAGAGUCUUGUAUGAAAGAUUUGAUGAAGCAUUAACUGUCUCAUUUUAAAUAUGAUUAAAAUUUAAUUUUUAAGUUAAAAAGCUUAAAUAUAUUUAAAGGACGAGAAGACCCUAUAGAACUUUAUAAAUAUAAUAUUAUUUAUUUAAUAAGAAAUAAUUUUAUUAAUAUAGUUAUAUUUAUUUCAUUGGGAUGAUGGAUAGAUUAAUUUAACUCUAUUAUAAAUUUAAUCAUAAAUUUAUGUUUAAUAUUUAUCUUAUAUUAUGAAAUAUAAAUUAAGUUACCUUAGGGAUAACAGCGUAAUUUUUUUUAAAAGUUCAUAUUAACAAAAAAGAUUGCGACCUCGAUGUUGGAUUAAGAUAAAAAUUAGGUGUAGAAGUUUAAUUUUUUAGUCUGUUCGACUAGUAAAUUCUUACAUGAUCUGAGUUAAAAUCGGCGUGAGCCAGAUUGGUUUCUAUCCUUAAAUUAAAAAAUUAUUUUAGUACGAGAGGAUCAAAUAAUUUAAAUAAAUUUAUUUAAAUUGAUUAUCAUUAAAUUUU